rnacentral:rRNA from 1 species
GAUGAACGCUGGCGGCGUGCCUAAUACAUGCAAGUCGAGCGAACGGACGAGAAGCUUGCUUCUCUGAUGUUAGCGGCGGACGGGUGAGUAACACGUGGAUAACCUACCUAUAAGACUGGGAUAAAUUCGGGAAACCGGAGCUAAUACCGGAUAAUAUUUUGAACCGCAUGGUUGAAAAGUGAAAGACGGUCUUUCUGUCACUUAUAGAUGGAUCCGCGCUGCAUUAGCUAGUUGGUAAGUUAACGGCUUACCAAGGCAACGAUGCAUAGCCGACCUUAGAGGGUGAUCGGCCACACUGGAACUGAGACACGGUCCAGACUCCUACGGGAGGCAGCAGUAGGGAAUCUUCGGCAAUGGGCGAAAGCCUGACGGAGCAACGCCGCGUGAGUGAUGAAGGUCUUCGGAUCGUAAAACUCUGUUAUUAGGGAAGAACAUAUGUGUAAGUAACUGUGCACAUCUUGACGGUACCUAAUCAGAAAGCCACGGCUAACUACGUG